rnacentral:rRNA from 1 species
GAAGCAGUUUGGCAAUGAACUGUGGAGGUUAUGGAAAAGCAAAUGUAGGCAUAAGUAACGAUAAGGCGGGUGAGAAACCCGCCCACCGAAAGACCAAGGUUUCCUGAUCAACGUUAAUCGGAUCAGGGUCAGUCGGGACCUAAGGCGCACCCGAAGGGGGCAAGCCGAUGGACAACUGGUUAAUAUUCCAGUACUCUUCAUAACUGCGAUGUGGUGACGGAGUAGUGACACUGCCGCGAACUGACGGAAUAGUUCGUUGAAAGGCGUAGGUAUUGGGGUUGUAGGCAAAUCCGCAACUCUAGCUGAAACCCAAUAGUACAGCAAAGCUCCGGUGGCGCUGAUAGAGCAGGUAAACAGACUUCCAAGAAAACCCGCUAAGCUUCAGGUUAUGAAGACCCGUACCGCAAACCGACACAGGUGGUCGAGGAGAGAAUCCUAAGGUGCUCGAGUGAGUCAUGGCUAAGGAACUCGGCAAAAUGGCCCUGUAACUUCGGGAGAAGGGGCGCUGUCUCUGAGAAGAGCAGCCGCAGUGAAAAGGCCCAGGCGACUGUUUAACAAAAACAUAUGGCUUUGCAAAAUCGCAAGAUGAAGUAUAAGGCCUGACACCUGCCCGGUGCUGGAAGGUUAAGAGGGGAUGUCAUCGCAAGAGAAGCAUUGAAUCGAAGCCCCAGUAAACGGCGGCCGUAACUAUAACGGUCCUAAGGUAGCGAAAUUCCUUGUCGGGUAAGUUCCGACCUGCACGAAUGGUGUAACGAUCUGGGCGCUGUCUCAGCCAUGAGCUCGGUGAAAUUGUGGUAUCGGUGAAGACGCCGAUUACCCGCAACGGGACGGAAAGACCCCAUGCACCUUCACUAUAGCUUAACAUUGAGAUUGGGUACAGGAUGUGUAGGAUAGGCGGGAGAUGUUGAAGUGGCUUCGCCAGGAGUCAUGGAAUCAACCUUGAAAUACCGCCCUUUCUGUAUCCGGUUUCUAACUCCUUUAUGAGGAGGACAUUGUUUGGUGGGUAGUUUGACUGGGGUGGUCGCCUCCAAAAAGGUAACGGAGGCUUUCAAAGGUAAGCUCAGUACGCUUGGUAACCGUACGUGGAGUGCAAUGGCAUAAGCUUGCUUGACUGUGAGACCUACAAGUCGAACAGGGUCGAAAGACGGACAUAGUGAUCCGGUGGUUCUGUAUGGAAGGGCCAUCGCUCAAAGGAUAAAAGGUACGCUGGGGAUAACAGGCUGAUCUCCCCCAAGAGCUCAUAUCGACGGGGAGGUUUGGCACCUCGAUGUCGGCUCGUCACAUCCUGGGGCUGGAGAAGGUCCCAAGGGUUGGGCUGUUCGCCCAUUAAAGUGGCACGCGAGCUGGGUUCAGAACGUCGCGAGACAGUUCGGUCCCUAUCUGUUGUGGGCGUUGGAAGUUUGAGUGGAUCUGACCUUAGUACGAGAGGACCGGGUUGGACAGACCUCUGGUGAACCUGUUAUGCCGCCAGGUGUACGGCAGGGUAGCUACGUCUGGAAUAGAUAAGCGCUGAAAGCAUCUAAGUGCGAAACUAGCCACGAGAUGAGACUUCCUUAUAGGGUCGUAGGAGAUGACUACGUUGAUAGGCCAUAGGUGUAAAGGUUGAGAGACCAAAGCCAAGUGGUACUAAUAGCCCGAAGCUUUCUCAAG